rnacentral:rRNA from 1 species
UACGUAGGCAGCAAGCGUUGUUCGGAGUUACUGGGCGUAAAGGGUGUGUAGGCGGUUGUUUAAGUUUGGUGUGAAAUCUCCCGGCUCAACUAGGAGGGUGCGCCGAAUACUGAAUGACUAGAGUGCGGGAGAGGAAAGUGGAAUUCCUGGUGUAGCGGUGAAAUGCGUAGAUAUCAGGGGGAACACCGGUGGUGUAGACGGCUUUCUGGACCGUAACUGACGCUGAGACACGAAAGCGUGGGUAGCAAACAGG